GACGAACGCUGGCGGCGUGCUUAACACAUGCAAGUCGAACGGAAAGGCCCUGCUUUUGUGGGGUGCUCGAGUGGCGAACGGGUGAGUAACACGUGAGUAACCUGCCCUUGACUUGGGAUAACUUCAGGAAACUGGGGCUAAUACCGGAUAGGAGCUUCUGCCGCCUGGUGGGGGUUGGAAAGUUUCGGCGGUUGGGGAUGGACUCGCGGCUUAUCAGCUUGUUGGUGGGGUAGUGGCUUACCAAGGCUUUGACGGGUUGCCGGCCUGGGAGGGGGACCGGCCACAUUGGGACUGAGAUACGGCCCAGACGCCUACGGGAGGCAGCAGUGGGGAUUAUUGCACAAUGGGCGGAGGCCUGCUGCAGCAACGCCGCGUGCGGGAUGACGGCCUUCGGGUUGUAAACCGCUUUCGCCUGUGACGAAGCGUGAGUGACGGUAAUGGGUAAAGAAGCACCGGCUAACUACGU
rnacentral:rRNA from 1 species